rnacentral:lncRNA from 1 species
UUGCAUGUUUCUUUUGUCUAGACAGUGAGCUCUAUGAAGACGAGACUUUGUCUGGAUUAAAGAUCAGUUCACUUCUGAGUUCCCGGAGUUUAUCACGACCUGCCUAAAGAUGGCCUUGGUUGACUGAAUGAAUGAAGCCAAACUAGGUGCUCUUGCAAAUCCUGUUCCUCAUACUCUGUCUUGGUGGUGAGUGGAAGUCCAAUCUUCUUUUUUAGAAAAAUAAUGAACUUUUGUUCAAUUUUAUCAGAGAUUUUGCAUUUUUAUUGAUAUUUUCAAAUACCCUACAAUU